UUUAGAGUUUGGAUCCUGGCUCAGGAUGAACGCUGGCGGCGUGCUUAACACAUGCAAGUCGAACGAUGAAGCCCAGCUUGCUGGGUGGAUUAGUGGCGAACGGGUGAGUAACACGUGAGUAACCUGCCCUUAACUCUGGGAUAAGCCUGGGAAACUAGGUCUAAUACCGGAUAGGAGCGUCCACCGCAUGGUGGGUGUUGGAAAGAUUUAUCGGUUUUGGAUGGACUCGCGGCCUAUCAGCUUGUUGGUGAGGUAAUGGCUCACCAAGGCGACGACGGGUAGCCGGCCUGAGAGGGUGACCGGCCACACUGGGACUGAGACACGGCCCAGACUCCUACGGGAGGCAGCAGUGGGGAAUAUUGCACAAUGGGCGCAAGCCUGAUGCAGCGACGCCGCGUGAGGGAUGACGGCCUUCGGGUUGUAAACCUCUUUCAGUAGGGAAGA
rnacentral:rRNA from 1 species